rnacentral:rRNA from 1 species
CCUACGGGUGGCAGCAGUGGGGAAUAUUGGGCAAUGGGCGCAAGCCUGACCCAGCAACGCCGCGUGAAGGAAGAAGGCUUUCGGGUUGUAAACUUCUUUUCUCAGGGACGAAGAAAGUGACGGUACCUGAGGAAUAAGCCACCGCUAACUACGUGCCAGACGCCGCGGAAAUACGUAGGUGGCAAGCGUUAUCCGGAUUUAUUGGGUGUAAAGGGCGUGUAGGCGGGAGCGCAAGUCAGAUGUGAAAACUCAGGGCUCAACCCUGGCCCUGCAUUUGAAACUGUGUUUCUUGAGUGCUGGAGAGGAAAGCGGAAUUCCGGGGGUAGCGGUGAAAUGCGUAGAUAUAAGGAGGAACACCAGUGGCGAAGGCGGAUUGCUGGACAGUAACUGACGCUGAGGCGCGAAAGCGUGGGGAGCAAACAGGAUUAGAUACCCUGGUAGUC